rnacentral:rRNA from 1 species
CCUACGGGGGGCAGCAGUGGGGAAUAUUGGACAAUGGGGGCAACCCUGAUCCAGCCAUGCCGCGUGUGUGAAGAAGGCCCUCGGGUUGUAAAGCACUUUCAGUGAGGAAGAACGCCUGGUGGUUAAUACCCAUCAGGAAAGACAUCACUCACAGAAGAAGCACCGGCUAACUCCGUGCCAGCAGCCGCGGUAAUACGGAGGGUGCGAGCGUUAAUCGGAAUUACUGGGCGUAAAGCGCGCGUAGGUGGCUUGAUAAGCCGGUUGUGAAAGCCCCGGGCUCAACCUGGGAACGGCAUCCGGAACUGUCAAGCUAGAGUGCAGGAGAGGAAGGUAGAAUUCCCGGUGUAGCGGUGAAAUGCGUAGAGAUCGGGAGGAAUACCAGUGGCGAAGGCGGCCUUCUGGACUGACACUGACACUGAGGUGCGAAAGCGUGGGUAGCAAACAGGAUUUAGAUACCCUGGUAGUC